ACCUAAUAGAUACCCUGGUAGUCCACGCCCUAAACGAUGCGAACUGGAUGUUGGGUACAUUACGGUACUCAGUGUCGAAAGCUAAACGCGUUAAGUUCGCCGCCUGGGGAGUACGGUCGCAAGACUGAAACUCAAAGGAAUUGACGGGGGCCCGCACAAGCGGUGGAGUAUGUGGUUUAAUUCGAUGCAACGCGAAGAACCUUACCUGGCCUUGACAUCUGUCGAAUCCUGCAGAGAUGCGGGAGUGCCGCAAGGAACGACAAGACAGGUGCUGCAUGGCUGUCGUCAGCUCGUGUCGUGAGAUGUUGGGUUAAGUCCCGCAACGAGCGCAACCCUUGUCCCUAGUUGCCAGCACAUCAUGGUGGGAACUCUAGGGAGACUGCCGGUGACAAACCGGAGGAAGGUGGGGAUGACGUCAAGUCCUCGUAGCGUACCGUA
rnacentral:rRNA from 1 species